GGCAUGCGUUCAUAGCCCCGCUUUCUCCCCUCUGUGUAGCACACUGGCUCUUACCUGUAAAACGUGCACAGGUGUAAACAUUUGGACCCACGCCACUGUCGGAUAUCUGCCGAGGGACAACUUUGAGUGGUAGGCAUAACUUGGUUGAGAAUAUAUAUUUUGUAUGUUGUUAUUCAUCUAGCAGAUUAAGAUUAAUUUUUUUUUUUAACAUUUGAAUCAACGAUUUUCUUGAAAUUUAUUGUUGGCGACUCAGUAGUUCUAAAAGUACUGAAGGUCUUUUUUUGUGCUGAUUCAUUUUUACUGACACCGUUAAAUUCAAACUGAUCGAUCGAGGGGUAUAUUUUGUAUGUAUUUCUUUUUUUUAAUUUUUAUUUUCAAGGAGGGAAUAUAACUUCGGAAUAUGUUAAUUAUUAUAUAUUAAGUUUCCUUUCUACGAGGUGUACUUUUAUUGCUGUAUCUAAGCCGUAACAUCCGACUGUUUUACGUUUGUUGAUCAUAUCAACGCAGAAAUCAAAAUGACGUCUUGCUUUUCCCUUUUUUAAUUUACAUAAAAAGAUGGUUUUUGUUUAUACUGUAGUCCAAAGAAAAUAUUUCCUAGUAAUGACACCAGAUGUUUUUUUUUUUUAUUGUUGCGUGUUUUGAAAAGGUAAACAUGAUAUACGUAAAGUUUAUUUUCAUAUUUUCAAAUGACGGAAAGAAAUCCUCAGUUUUUUUUCCAUUGUUUUGAAUUUCUAGAUAAGACAUUUUCCAUCAAAACAAACGGUUUCUCGGUGCAGAUUUGCGCAAUCAUUCCAUUCUAGGCAAAUAAAUUAGUCAAGACCUGAAAAAAGAAGGUUAUCUUGUCCUCGAUUUGACAAACGCAAACAUAUCCUGUUAGCAAAUGUCUUUUGCUAAAAAAAAAAUCCCCCUAAAAUCCGUCCACUUCUGACGUACAUGUAUUGAGCAAUGAUUUGCAAACAAUCGGCUUUCUUCGACUUUGGUUAGUGAUUUAUGAACAUGUCACCGGAGGGGUUCCGAGUGGAUUUGCAAUGGUUGAAAGGCGUUUAUUUGUUGCAGAAAGAUUAAGAAAAGUUCUUUGUACACCAUGUGAUAGUAUAUAAGUGGCAUCCAUGCUGUGUUAGCCCAAUGCCUUUUCAUGUUUCACACAUUAGUGGACAUGUAAACACUCUCUUUCCAGUCCAUUGAUUACGGACUGUGAACUAGCUGGAGUAUUAAACUAAAAAGAGUUGAAUGUUCGAUACAUUUGAACGAAAGUUGACUCUUUUAAACAAUAUUUACCCACAGGCAGUAUACAAGGUUUGACUGUGCAAUAUACUUGAAGGAUUUAGGUAAAAAGUGCUUGGACGACUAUCGUCUUCUAUGACGAAAGACAGACAGACGGACUCUGCUCCGUGGAAGCCUUCUUCCACAGCCAGUUUAGGAGCGACGUUGUGCAUGGUCUUGACCCCUGCUUUUGUGAAUUAGCAUAUUCCAGUGAAUUUGAAAUCUGACACGUGUACAAUCAACAGCAUGGCGUCAAUGCCAGCGGUUUCAUAAUUAUGUGACAAUAAUGUGAUAAAUGUUGUAGUAUUUUGAAACCCGGAUUUUCUUCUCGUUAGUCACAUUGUGCAUGAUAAUCAAAUCCUGUUUUGAAAUUACCACAUUUCAACUUCUAGUAUUAUCUUGUUUCUGUAUUGCUUUGGUUUUGGUCUGUUGCCGCCACAUUUGAUGUCAUCUAUGGCAACGGCUGUUACCCGGUCUUGCUAACUUGUCAACCUCAUUAUUUUAG
rnacentral:misc_RNA from 1 species